GAAUCUUUGGUGAGCCUUUUACGUAGGUACGAAGAUGCCUAUCUGUGUGCCUACCAGGCAUGUGUAAGUCGCCUUAAAGGUGAGGUUGAUCUGCCGUGUAGGCAUUAGCCAGGCGAGGUUAAAAAAUAAAAAAUUUGAGCCUGCCGCCUGCAUAGGUAACUGCCGCCUAAAAUUCUGCCUAUUUACCGAUGUGCCUACUAUUUGUCUGGCUAAAUGUCUACGUAGUACUCCGUCUUGCAUUCCUUCGUGAUUGACUACAUACCUACUUGCUGCCUACAAGCUUGUUUACCUGCCUGCAAGGCGCUUAUGUUCUGCAUAAUUCCCUGUUAGACUAAUGUUUGGAAGUUCAGGCAAUCGGCUCGCAGGCACG
ensembl:ncRNA Y67D8C.13 ncRNA